AUACGGGGCUUAAAGUCUUGUAAUUGGAAUGAUGGGAAUUUAAACCUCUUCCAGAGUAUCAAUUGGAGGGCAAGUCUGGUGCCAGCAGCCGCGGUAAUUCCAGCUCCAAUAGCGUAUAUUAAAAUUGUUGCAGUUAAAAAGCUCGUAGUUGAAUUUCUGCUGCAUUGCUUGUGUCCCUCUGGGGUCUGUGCAUGUGGCUUUUUUCGGACGGAGUUUCUUUGUCUGAAUGUUUACUUUGAGAAAAUUAGAGUGCUCAAAGCAGGCUUUCGCCUUGAAUAAUUUAGCAUGGAAUAAUAAAGUAGGACUUUGGUUCUAUUUUGUUGGUUUUAGGUACCAAAGUAAUGGUUAAUAGGAACAGUUGGGGGCAUUCGUAUUUAACUGUCAGAGG
rnacentral:rRNA from 1 species